rnacentral:rRNA from 1 species
GACAGAGGUGGCAAGCGUUGUUCGGAGUUACUGGGCGUAAAGAGUCUGUAGGUGGUCUGUCAAGUCUUUGGUGAAAGGCCGUGGCUUAACCAUGGGAAUGCCAAAGAGACUGGCAGACUGGAGGCUGGGAGAGGGAAGCGGAAUUCCUGGUGGAGCGGUGAAAUGCGUAGAGAUCAGGAAGAACACCCGUGGCGAAGGCGGCUUCCUGGAACAGACCUGACACUGAGAGACGAAAGCGUGGGGAGCAAACAGG